rnacentral:rRNA from 1 species
CCUACGGGAGGCAGCAGUAGGGAAUCUUCCACAAUGGACGAAAGUCUGAUGGAGCAACGCCGCGUGAGUGAUGAAGGUUUUCGGAUCGUAAAACUCUGUUGUAAGGGAAGAACAAGUACGAGAGGGAAUGCUCGUACCUUGACGGUACCUUGCGAGAAAGCCACGGCUAACUACGUGCCAGCAGCCGCGGUAAUACGUAGGUGGCAAGCGUUGUCCGGAAUUAUUGGGCGUAAAGCGCGCGCAGGCGGCCUUUUAAGUCUGAUGUGAAAGCCCCCGGCUCAACCGGGGAGGGUCAUUGGAAACUGGAAGGCUUGAGUACAGAAGAGAAGAGUGGAAUUCCAUGUGUAGCGGUGAAAUGCGUAGAGAUGUGGAGGAACACCAGUGGCGAAGGCGACUCUUUGGUCUGUAACUGACGCUGAGGCGCGAAAGCGUGGGGAGCAAACAGGAUUAGAUACCCUGGUAGUCCACGACCGUAACGAUAGAGUGCUAGGUAGGUUGGGGGUUUACCGGGUCCCGUCCAGUGCUGAGACUACGCAUAAGUACACUCCGCCGUCGGGUAGGUACGGCCGGCCGACGGCGUGAACGUACGAAACGGAAAGUUAGUACGGCGUGAGACGUAGCCGACGGACGACGACGAGGGAGGUUAGGG